UUAAUCAGGAUGGACUUCAACCAACAAGUUCAGUGUCCUCAGUAUAAAUUGGAGGGCCAUCAGCAACACCAUUAUCUAGACUGGGCACGACCGGCCUGAAGGUUUUGGAUACAGAGGGAGUUCGGGAGGACUGUCUUUAGAGUGAAUGACCUGGCUGCUGGUUUUCCAGGCUGAAAGCCUCAAGAUGGCCACCUAUCAGAGUGUGGGUUGACCCUGCAGGAAGUCUCAUUCCAGCCAUAGGGGCCACAGGAAAAGGACAUGGCUGAGGGCUCUGGGAGCCCAAAACAGACCCACCUCCCCCAGCUUCACAGGGACUGAGCUUGUCGACUUCUCUCAAGGGAAAAUGAUUGGCUGAGACCAGUGUUUUCUGAUACUGCGUUUUCUCUGGAAAACUAUCAUAUCAUCAUCAUAAUAAGUAAUAUUUGGUGAACGCUUCCUUCAGGCCAGGAACUUUAUAUCGACCUUUUGUUAUUUAAUCUCACAAUCCCCUGAAGAUGGUAAUAUUAUCCCCAUUUUAUGGACAAGAAAAACCAAGUUUCCAGAGGUCACAUAACUUGCACAAACUGCAUGCUAUGAGUAAAUAGCAGAGUAGGGCUUGAACCCACUGAUGGCAAAGACCUGGUUCUAAAUCACCAUGUCACGGCACCACACUACCUCUCAGCAAAGGAAGAAGCUCAAGUAUGCCCAACUCCUUUAUUCAGACUAUUUCACCUGGAAGAAGUCCACAUUUGCAUAAUGAUAUUUUCUCCAAGGACAGAGUAGGGACAGUAUUUCUCUUUCCUGCUAGAGAUUUUGAGCCCCUCUACACCUGGUUUAGACUGUAGCUCUGUGACAUAAAGUCUUGGCAUACCGUGGAGUGUUUUUGUUUGUUGUUUGUUUAAGGGAGCAACUGUCUUACCCAACAACUUGUGAGUAUAAAGGAGGUUUUCUUGGGCUGCUCAUUAUUCAGCAGUCAUUCAUGAAUUCAUUCAACAAGUGUCUUUGAUAUGCCAGGCACUGGUGAUGAAAAGAGGAACAAAAGAGACGAUAUCUCUGCUCUCCAGAAACUGAAAGUCUAUUGAAGGAGACAGUUGUCCAACAAUUACAAUAAAGUGUGAUCAAUCUCUGAUGGCAGAACUUUAAUCUAAGAGCCCCUAACCUAAGCUUCAGGAACUGGUCAGGAAAGCUUCCUGAAAGAUGACUUUUGGGCUAAAACGAGGCUGCCAACAAACAUAAGAAAGUGUCGUUUUUUUAGUUAGCAAUUCCUAUGAAGUAGGGCAUGGAUAUGGGGACAGACUCCAACAACAGGAUAAACGCUGGUAGCAGAACACACCCCAAACCAGAUAUGAUGAGAGAGUGACUGCUUGAAAAGGGUGUAAAAUUGAGUACAAUUCCUUUGGUGGACCACUGUUCUGAUUUCUGACCUUCAAAAAAAGAGCUACUUGAAAUACACAAGGGCUAGCUUUCCAAGGAAAUGGAUUUGGCUCUAAUAGAUAACCUCUAAUAGCCUCGAAUGGUGAUACUAUCUCAAAUAAUUUGGAAUGUUUGAAAAGUACACCUGAAAAUAUCACAAAAAGGGAUCAUAUUGAUGCAGCUAUAAAAUCAAUUCCUGGUUACCUAAUACUCCUUCUCCAGUCAUUCUAAUAAGAGACAAUGAACUCACCUAUAGGGGCGAUAUCUAAAAGUAGGGAGUUCCCAAAUUGAUUGGGCUGUACUCUACUCAGUACAUAGCAAUCAGCUUCUCUGGGAAUGCUUUGCCAAAGGAAAGCUUUAAAUGCUAUCAUACUUGACCUAUUGGGUUAACAGCCAAAAGGGGAGAUCGAAUGCAGUGUGCUCACAAUUUUAGUAGGAUAAUGGAAGGUAAACUGAGGGUUCUAAGAUCCAUGUGGAGUGACUGGGAGGAAAAAAGGGAAAAUCACCCCAAGGAGAAAUCUAUUCUUUUAAAAAAAUACUUUAUUUAUUUAUUUAAGAGAGUGGGAAAGAGAGUACUAGCAGGGGGAGAGAGAGAAGAGAAGAAAGAAGGAGAGAAAAGGAGGCAGAGAAGAAGCAGACUUCCCACUGAGCAGGAAGCCAGACACGGGGCUCUAUCCCAAGACUCCAGGAUCAUGACCUAGGCCGAAGGCAGAUGCUUAACUGACUGAGCCACCAAGGCGUCCCUAGGAGAGAUCUAUUCUAUAGGAAGACCUAGAAAUUCUGCAUACAAAAUUCAGUAUUAUUUUAUUAUAUAUAUAACAUGCAUAUAUAUACAUACAAUUAACAUAUAACAAAAUGCACAGGUCUUUAAUGUUCUGUUCCAGAGGUCCUGAUAAUUGUGUAUAUAUACCUGUGUAAUCUUCACUCCAAAGAAUAUAUAGAAUAUUUUCCUUAUCCCAGAAAAUUUCCUUGAUCCCUUUGUUGACAAAUCGCUUCCCCAAUAAUGGCAACCACUUUUUUUUACUUCAAACACCAAAAAUUAGUUUUGUCUGUUUCCGGACUUUAUGUAAAUAAAAUUGUACAGUUCAUACUC